UAAUUGGAGAGUUUGAUCCUGGCUCAGGACGAACGCUGGCGGCGUGCUUAACACAUGCAAGUCGAACGGUCCAGCACUCAACUUAGUGCUCAUAAGAUAUAGAGUUUUAAUUAGAGGAAGCGAUAUAUCUGG
rnacentral:rRNA from 1 species